rnacentral:rRNA from 1 species
UGGGGAAUAUUGCACAAUGGGCGAAAGCCUGAUGCAGCGACGCCGCGUGCGGGAUGACGGCCUUCGGGUUGUAAACCGCUUUCAGCAGGGAAGAAGCGCAAGUGACGGUACCUGCAGAAGAAGCGCCGGCUAACUACGUGCCAGCAGCCGCGGUAAUACGUAGGGCGCGAGCGUUAUCCGGAAUUAUUGGGCGUAAAGAGCUCGUAGGCGGUUUGCCGCGUCUGCUGUGAAAGCCCGGGGCUUAACUCCGGGUGUGCAGUGGGUACGGGCAGACUAGAGUGCAGUAGGGGAGACUGGAAUUCCUGGUGUAGCGGUGAAAUGCGCAGAUAUCAGGAGGAACACCGAUGGCGAAGGCAGGUCUCUGGGCUGUUACUGACGCUGAGGAGCGAAAGCAUGGGGA